CCCCAGCAGAGCGUCCGGCCCCCCCGCGGGCCCGGGGAGAAGCCGCCGACGCCGAGGAGCAGCGGGGAAGCCAGGAGCUGCUGGAGCAGGCGGCAGCCGAGAGGCGGCAGCUCGUCUGGGAGUGGCAGGAGCUGCGAGGGUUUCUGGAGCAGCAGGAGCAGCGGCUGCUGGCCCGGCUGGAGGAGCUGGAGGGAGCCAUUGUCCAGAGAAGGGACGAGGGCGGCUGCAGCCUGUCCCGGGACAUUUCCCUGCUCGGCGAGAGGGGAGGAGACGAGGGGCAGCGGCCGCCGAGCCCCCCCCUGCAGGGUGCCGGGAGCUGUGGGGGCAGGUGAGUGCCGGGCUCCGUCUCGCUCCCCUCGUGGUGCGUUAGGGCUGAAUUCGGCGCUGGCCCCUGCCCCUGCCGGGCGACCCGCCGGCGCCGAGCCUGGGACUCUGCCUCGGCAAGGGGACGAGCCUGUCGCUCUCGGACAGCUGAGACGGGCCCCCCAGGGCUGUCAGACGUGGGCCAGGGGCCGGGCCGGGCCUGGCUGAGGUAGUCCCGUGGCCACGGCCCGUGUUCAGGGUCUGCAGAAUCUCAGCUUCCCGUUUAU